GGCUGGCGCACGCUUUGUAUUGAGUGGUGUCUUCCUCUUUGUAGCCUCUGUGGUUGGCCCAAAGGUAAGUCCCCACCCUGAUCCCUAGAAUGUGACAUUUGCCUUAUUUGGAAAAAGAGUCUCAAUAUAUUGACACCAUGAAGAUCUGAACGAUAUGGAGAAGAUUGUCCUGGGGCAUCCUAAACGCGGUCACAAUACGGAGACAGGAGGAGAUUUCACACAGGCAGACGAGGAGGCUGCAGUGCGACCACAGAGACCGAGACGGGAGUGAUGUGGCCGCAGGCCAAGCACACCUGGAGCCUUCAAAAGCUGGGAGAGGCAGGAAGGAGCCCCAGGGCCUCUGGAGGGAGCGAGGCCUCCACACACCUUGACUUCAGCCCCGCAGUCCUGAUUUUGGACUUUUCAUUUCCAGAAAUGUAAGAAAAUGAACGUU
rnacentral:lncRNA from 10 species